UACGUACUCCUUUCGUCCGGAAAUACUUGUCACAGAAAUGCAUAAAAAUGGAUGUAUCUAGGACUAAAAUACGUCUAGAUACAUCCGGUCCUCCGACAAGUAUUUCUAAACGGAGGGAGUACUAC
rfam:Triticum aestivum genome assembly, contig: Triticum_aestivum_CS42_TGACv1_scaffold_249244_3DL